rnacentral:rRNA from 1 species
AUUGAACGCUGGCGGCAGGCUUAACACAUACAAGUCGAGCGGGGUGAUGGUGCUUGCACUAUCACUUAGCGGCGGACGGGUGAGUAAUGCUUAGGAAUCUGCCUAUUAGUGGGGGACAACAUCUCGAAAGGGAUGCUAAUACCGCAUACGUCCUACGGGAGAAAGCAGGGGAUCACUUGUGACCUUGCGCUAAUAGAUGAGCCUAAGUCGGAUUAGCUAGUUGGUGGGGUAAAGGCCUACCAAGGCGACGAUCUGUAGCGGGUCUGAGAGGAUGAUCGGCCACACGGGGACUGAGACACGGCCCAGACUCCUACGGGAGGCAGCAGGGGGGAAUAUUGGACAAUGGGGGGAACCCUGAUCCAGCCAUGCCGCGUGUGUGAAGAAGGCCUUAUGGUUGUAAAGCACUUUAAGCGAGGAGGAGGCUCUUUUGGUUAAUACCCAAGAUGAGUGGACGUUACUCGCAGAAUAAGCACCGGCUAACUCUGUGCCAGCAGCCGCCGUAA